rnacentral:rRNA from 1 species
AUGGGCUCAAAAGCGAUCAUUCGAGGAAGAAACUGUAUCAUAUGGAGAUUGAGCUGCCAGAAGAACCCAACAUCUGUUACCAUCAAUCUUAACAUUCUUGGUAAUAAUGGCAUGUCAGAUGAUGUCCAUUCAGGGAAGUCGGCUUCAGAUCAUGAAACUAAUAAAGGGGCUGGAUUGGAAAUUUUGGCUAAACAUCAGCUGUUACGUGGUUUAGUUGACCGUGGUUCUAGGAAAGGAAGGCGCGAAGUUAUUUUACCGUCCCGAUCUAGUGCUAUGUGGCAGACUCUUCGGUUUGCAAGCACUAAUGCAGCUAGAAGACCCGAGUUUGACAGUGGCAAUGAACACAAGGACGAUCAAGAUAGACAGCAAGAGAAAGACGUGUUAACGGAAGACUGUGUGGACUCUACAGUAGAACUAGGUCCUGCCAAAGUCAAACCCGAAGUGAAGAAUCAAGAACAGUCAUCUGUUAAACAGAAGUUCUGGGAAACUGUUCCUGUGAUUGGUCCCGCAAUGAAAAGAGCGGCUUCCAUGAGCAGUCAGAAGAAGGACGAGUUCUUUUCAACUAUGCAGCACUAUUGGCUUGGCUUGCGACUGCUGUGGCUAGAUGUUAGGAUUUCGUCCAGAUUAUUACUGAAGCUAGCCAAUCGGAAAAGACUCUCGAGAAGAGAGAGGGGCCAGCUGACCCGUACAACCACGGACAUAUUCAAGCUGGUUCCCUUUUCGGUUUUUGUCGUAGUCCCAUUCAUGGAGUUUUUGUUGCCUGUGUUUCUAAGGAUAUUCCCAAACAUGCAACCGUCAACAUUCAAGGACAGGAUGAAAGAACAGGAGGCACUAAAAAGGAAACUCAAAGCAAGGAUGGAAUAUGCCAAGUUUCUACAGGACAUUGUGAACGAAAUGACAAAAGAAGUGAAGUUUACACGUAGUGGAGAGAAUAAGCAAAAGGCAGAGGAUAUUGAGCAGUUCAUUAAGAAAGUAAGGACUGGCUCAUAUGUUGAUAACGGUGAAAUAUUGGGUUUUGCGAAGUUAUUCAGUGAUGAACUAACCUUGGAUAAUAUGAGCAGGCCACGUUUAGUAAAUAUGUGCAAGUAUAUGGGGAUCCAGUCAUAUGGGACAAACAAUUAUUUGCGAUUUAUGCUCAGAAGAAAACUUAAAUGUAUAAAAGAUGACGAUAUAUUAAUACAGAGAGAAGGUGUAGCCUCUCUCAGUGAAAAUGAACUCCGUCAGGCCUGCAGGGAGAGAGGCCACCUUGGUUUGCUUCCAGUAGAAGAGAUGCGUGAAGAGCUGCAAGAUUGGUUGGACCUGUCUCUCCACUGUGAGGCGCCAUCUUCUCUACUUAUACUAUCUAGAGCUUUUACAGUUUCUGGCAAGAUGAAGCCUGAGGAUGUUGCAGCUACACUAUCAUCCCUUCCUGACAACAUAUUCGGAAGUGUGGGUCUUAGCUUGCCAUCUGAAGAUGCUCUUUCAGCUAGGAAGAGGAAGUUGGAGUUCUUGAAAAUGCAAGAUAAACUUAUCAAGGAAGAAGAAAAUGAAGAAGAGGACAUGGUGAAGUUGGAAGACAAGGGCGGGUCGUGCAAUAAAUUCAGUGUCAAGGAAGCUGGUGAUCUGGCAAGAAAGAGAAUGUUAGAGAAACAGGAAGAGCUUUGCAAAGUUAGUCAGGCAUUAGCUCUUUUGUCUUCUGCAUCGUCAACUAGCAAGGAGCGUCAAGAAUUCCUAAGCCUUGUGCACAGAGAGAUAGAACUGUACAACUCACUGCGUGAAGGUUCGACAGCAGAGGAUGCCAAUGAGGCAUACACAGCUGCGAAGGGGAGUAAUUCCGCUAGAAGUUCGGUAUCCAUGGCACUCAUGAAAAAGAUAAAUGCCAUGCUCAAGGAGCUGACAAAGGAAAUAGAUGAUGUAGACACGGCCAUUGGUGAUGGUUGGCAGCUUCUGGACAGGGACCGUGACGGUAAGGUCACUUCGGAGGAGGUGGCAGCCGCGGCCGCGUACCUGAAGCACAACUUGGACAGUGCAGGCAUCGAGGAGCUCAUCGGGAGCCUCUCCAAAGAUAAAGACGGCAAGAUCCUGGUUGAGGACAUCAUCAGGCUUGGCACACAAGCUGAGGAGGCAGAGCCCGACGACGAUGACUGA